CUGCUUUCUAUGAGCUAACUUGGUUUACAGAUGGAUCUUACGUAAACAACAGUCAAGGACAUGUCAAGACGUAUGUGCUGUCCAGCUUUGAGAAUGCCUGCUACUCCCUGUUAAUUCUGCUAACUCUGUAACAGAUUUCCUUCCAGAGGCUCAAGAAAUCACCACAGAAGACAACAGACAAAGAUGAAUCUUCCAGUGUGUCGUCUCUGCUAAAGCACGUGAAACAGCAGGCGAAUGUCUUAAGUGAUCCUACAUCCGGUCUUCAUUUGUUUGCUGGGCUCUCUUCAGGGUAUCUUUGGAACCAAAACCUCCUGCCGUAUGGCCAGGGGAAGAGGCCGUGGUGGAGAGGAGCAGAGAGAACCUUUCGUCCUGCAAGUGGGUGUUUUGUUUGGAGGAGAACUGGCUGGCUGUCACCUGAAGAAUCACCUGCAAGCCCCGGGAGCUGCCGCGGGGAUACUGAACAGUGGGAACCACUGCUCUGUCGGAUUUGAGGGCAUCUGCAGGUGUUGCAAUGGGGUACUGUGUUGUGUUUCAAAAUAAUUUCCUC
rnacentral:lncRNA from 1 species